rnacentral:rRNA from 1 species
UACAGAGGUCUCAAGCGUUGUUCGGAUUCAUUGGGCGUAAAGGGUGUGUAGGUGGCGCCGUAAGUCGGGUGUGAAAGUCCAGGGCUCAACCCUGGAAAGCCAGUGGAAACUGCCAAGCUAGAGUCCGGAAGAGGCGAGUGGAACUCCUGGUGUAGCGGUGAAAUGCGCAGAUAUCAGGAAGAACACCAAUGGCGAAGGCAGCUCGCUGGGACGCGACUGACGCUGAGACGCGAAAGCGUGGGGAGCAAACAGG